rnacentral:tRNA from 1 species
GCCCUUAUAGCUCAGUGGUAGAGCGCAGCACUUGUAAUGCUGAGGUCGGUGGUUCAAUCCCGUCUGGGGGCA